GGAGCAGGCGUAGGCGGUCCAGAAGCGGCACUACGACAAGAACCACCGCGCGGUCUCCUACGACGUCGGCGAUUGGGCGUGGCUUCGCCUCCUCCAUCGUACCCCGACGUCCCUGCCGAUGGUCAUGAAGGGGAAGCUCAAGCCCCGCUACUACGGGCCCUACCGCGUCGCCGAGAUCAUCAACGACGUCGCCGUUCGGCUGGCCCUGCCUCAGCGCACACGACUACAUGACGUGUUCCACGUCGGCCUCCUCAAGAUGUUCGUGGGUACACCUCCGGAGGAUUCGCCGCCACUGCCGGAUGUCCACCAUGGCGCGGCGGUUCCUGAGCCAGAACGCGCGGUGCGCGCACGCCUCGCGCGGGGCGUUCGACAAAUCCUCGUUUAGUGGAAGGGGGCACCAGCGUCAGUGGCUACGUGGGAAGACAUCGACAGCUUCACCGAGCGUUACCCGGCUUUCCAGCUCGAGGACGAGCUGCUCGUCGAGGGGGGGGGGAGAUGUCAUGUGGGGCCGGCACUACGCCCGCCGGGAACGCCGCGGCUGGCGCGCCGUGAUCUGCUGGCGGCGCCAUCAGUUCCUAAAUUCUAGCGUGUGAUCUCCAGGUUGUUGGAGAAGAUACUAUAACUAGUGGAUGUAAUCCGGGAUUGAGAUUAAGCAAAUACUAUCAGUUCCCUAACCUCCCUCUCUCUCCUCAAUCUCCCUUCACCAUUGGUUCGUCGGGAAACAACUCCGGCGACUCUAUCCGCCCGGGCUACGAACUCCGUAGCCGUGGACUCCCUGUCUUGGGCCCUAACGCCCUUGACAGUAGCUGUGAGAUUUUCUAGACAUGUCCAUAUUGAUGUACAUGCCUUCAGAACUGAUUCUGCAGCUUGACUUUUCACAUUAUUCUUUUCAUUCUCAAUGUAGUAGGUGAAGAAUUCAAUCAGCUGCAUUUGCAUAAUAUUUUUUCAGACAGGUGUUUGUCAUCACCUCUUAAGUUAACAUUCCAAUGUUACGCUAGGCGCUAGGCGGUUUCUAGGCGGUGACCCACCGCCUAUUGCCUAGGCGAGCUUAGGCGUUUCCCGCUAGGCGGUUUCAUAUACAUACAUAUACCUUUAUCAUAUACAUCAUAUACCUCUAAAAGAAAAGAAAAACAGAGAACUACUAAACCCUGAGUUGGAAAAUAGGCCCAUCAAAGCAGCCCAACAGCCACCUUAUCUCCUCCCCUCUCCUUCCGUUCUCCUUCCCGACGCCCCCUGCCUAUCCUCUGUUCCCAACGCCGCCCCUGCCUCCCCCUCGCCUCUGCUUCCACCCUUCCUCCUCUUCCUCCGCGCUUGCCCCUGCCUCCUCCUCCGCCGCCGCCACCGCCCGUCCCCUGCUUUCUCCUCCCUCGCCAGCACCGCGCGGAAGGGAGCAGUUGGCGGGAGCAGCAGCCCUGCGCGGAGGGAGACCGGCGGCCCAAAGAAUCCAGGGAGGGAGGAGGUAGUGAGCAGAGGAGAGAGGAGCAGGGGAGGGCAGAUCAGCGACUGCGAGGGGCGGAGGGGAGCGGCCCCGACAUGAGCAGUAGCCCCGCGCGGGGGAGACCGGCAGCCCUGUGCGGAGGGAGACCGGCGGAGGUGCUCCGCCCGCCUACCCCCUAGGCGAGGCGGUACCCCGCCGCCUAGCGCAUAAGCGCGCCUGGGCAAGCGCGGAAUAGCGCCUUGUGGAACACUGUAACAUUCACAGUUAAAUUAGUUCCAAGGUCAUCGUCACUUGAGCCGUUAGAUGGUGAUUGCUGCAAUUUAGCUUUCAUUGCCCUGUACUUCUCUCCACGAGUUUAGAUUGUUUCAAACGGGUGUCUCAUCUUUUUCAAAUAACAUAUAUGUGUAAGUUAAAGCAUUGAAUACUGCACGCUUUUGCGAAGCUACUUCAACUCUGGACCUCACACUUUCCAUACUUAAACUCUGGGCCUUUAGCAUUAUGGUCAGUAUCAAACUCAAUCAUUGUUGCUAAGGCAUCAUAUUUGAUUAUUAGUAUCUUACAUGUAUGUAUUGCUUGGUACAUUUUCAUCAAUCUUACAUGUGGCUCCAAUAUCUUUUGUUUCUUUACUAGUUAUUAUUAGUUUAUUACAAUUCCCAGUUCUAUUCUCAUUUAAUUUAUCAUAUUGUCAUCUUGUUCCCUUUUUUGUUCAAAAUAUAAAAGUUGGCUUAGAUGUCUUCUAAUGUUUACUAGUUACAAUGCCUAGGAACAUUCUCAUUCAUUUUGCUGCUCUACUUGUGAUGGCUUGACAUGUUUUUUUCCUUUUGCAGACCAGCGCAAGGCAAUGACUAAGGCCAUGGAUGCAACUCAACCAGGGUGGCACUAUUUCUCAUUAUUUGCUAGCCAUUUAAUUGUGCCAAUAUGUGGUGGAUCCUCAUAAACUGUAAUAUGCGGUGCCUCGUUAUGGAACUGUAUUAUGUCAGGCUAUUGCAUCGGCUGUUGACCUGAUCAUUGUACCAGUGGAAGACUUUUAACUGAUAUCACAGUACUAUGUUUAUUUGUCAGGCUGUUGCAUCGACUUGUUGACUUGUACCAACGCAAGACUAUAACUAGUUUUUACCUAGGUGCUACUGAAAUGAACUGCAGUGUCAUGCCUAGUGUGCCUGUUACUUUCCUUCUGCAAAUUUUUAUGUAUGCUGAUCAGCAUAAGGUAAACAAACGGUUUUAUAUUAUAGUUUUCAUUUUACUGUACAAACUCUGAUAGGUACAAAUCAAGGAAUUUCAAUAAUCAGAUGCUGCCUUACCCUUUUCAGGUUAGAAUAUUUGGUUCUGACCUCUUCUCCUUUAUCGGUCUUUCAGAUUUAACGAGUUGCUGAUAAUGGUAGAUGCUUGCCAAGCUGCUAUUCUGUUUUCACAUGUUUGUUUCACUGCUUCAUUCACCUGGUGUUUUGGCGAUUGGUAGCAGCAUGAAGUUGAUAACUCCUAUCAUCAGCAUCUUGACUGAGAGAGAGAGAGAGAGAGAGAGAGAGAGAGAGAGAGAGAGAGAGAGAGAGACCACUACCGAAGGGCAGAGGGACAGCGAGCGGCAGGCGACGACGAACUGAAAGUGACAGCGACGGCGCUCGAUCGGCGAACUGAAAGUGCGGUCCAAAGAACAGACGGCGGUGAGCUGCAAGUGGGGCCGAACAACAGAGCGCCGCAAAAGAAAGUGGAACUGCAAGUGGACCCCGAGCUAACAUCCUGCCUGGGUAGUGAGGCAAAAACUGGGGGGACGGUCAACAACGCCAAUCGAGCCAGGCACUCCGAGCACGAAUGUUAAAGUGAGAUGUGCGGUCCUAGAUAAGAUGUGCGCGCCCUUACGGGCGUGGUGUUGACCCAGAGCUAACAUCCUGCCUGGGUAGUGAGGCAAAAACUGGUGGGACGGUCAACAACGCCAAUCGAGCCAGGCACUCCGAGCACGAAUGUUAAAGCAAGAUGUGCGGUCCUAGAUAAGAUGUGCGCGCCCUUACUUACGGGCGUGGUGUUGAUUUUUCGGGUGCGUCGCUCUAUUGUUCUUUGUUUGUUUCUUCCAUUUGAUGUGAGCUGAUCUACUUGUCUUUGCUGUCAUUUUGUGGUGACAAGGAUGCAUAGUUGCA